AACAACAUUAUGCUAUCCUAGCCUACAUAUUACUGUAGACCCUGGGGCUCCACGGCAGAGGAAAGUGGCUCACACCCCGCACCUGGUGUUUGUAGACAGCAAACAGUCACCUGGAGGAGACUAGACUCCCAUGCAUUAACUUUGGAAUCCAGGAAUCUUCAGCAGUGGCAAUUACCUUUAAUUGGAUGAUACCAGCCACAGUGGGACCACCCAUAUCAACCAUCAAUCAAUACAGUGCUCCACUUUCCCACAGACUCUAACACAGAGGGGUCAGGCCAGAGAGCUCCUGAGAUUCUUUCAAAUCCUACCAUUCAUGUACAGAGGCAAAGGUAACCAUUACCUUCAAUACUGAAAUCUUUCCACAAGACCCUGAAGCUUAGAGUAUAUCCACAGUCUUUGCAGUUGCACUAGAAAUGAUAUGGUGUCCAGUGAUGUGCCCAACUGCAGAGCAACCCUGUGCACCUUCUACAAGUUGGAGACUGGACUCCUUCCUCUAUGCUGGUCCAAGAUCUGGAAUGUGACAACUGUUAAGGUGUCCCAGGUCAACCUUGGCAUGCUAAGGAAGGAGCUUGUCCUGGAAGAUGACUGCUUGGGAGGAACGCAUCCGAGUGAUGUCCCUCUGUCUAGUGCAUCGUGUCUGCCAGUGGGAUGUUGUUUGCAAUAGACCAUCACGUACCAAGUCAGCUUUGUCAUUGUCCAUUCACCCCUCUAGCAGAGGCUGCUAGAAGCUGGCUUCUAUUCUGCUGCUUUGACAUUGCCAGAUCACCUGCAACUAAGGGACCAAAUCUUUCUCAGGACAGAAAUAACAAU
rnacentral:sRNA from 1 species